rnacentral:rRNA from 1 species
GAUGAACGCUGGCGGCGUGCCUAAUACAUGCAAGUCGAGCGAAUGGAUUGAGAGCUUGCUCUUAUGAAGUUAGCGGCGGACGGGUGAGUAACACGUGGGUAACCUGCCCAUAAGACUGGGAUAACUCCGGGAAACCGGGGCUAAUACCGGAUAACAUUUUGAACCGCAUGGUUCGAAAUUGAAAGGCGGCUUCGGCUGUCACUUAUGGAUGGACCCGCGUCGCAUUAGCUAGUUGGUGAGGUAACGGCUCACCAAGGCAACGAUGCGUAGCCGACCUGGGAGGGUGAUCGGCCACACUGGGACUGAGACACGGCCCAGACUCCUACGGGAGGCAGUAGUAGGGAAUCUUCCGCAAUGGACGAAAGUCUGACGGAGCAACGCCGCGUGAGUGAUGAAGGCUUUCGGGUCGUAAAACUCUGUUGUUAGGGAAGAACGAGUGCUAGUUGAAUAAGCUGGCACCUUGACGGUACCUAACCAGAAAGCCACGGCUAACUACGUGCCAGCCGCCGCCGUAA